GUGAGUAGUUCAGAGUUUGAUCCUGGCUCAGGAUGAACGCUGGCGGCGUGCCUAAUACAUGCAAGUCGAACGGAGGAUACUUCGGUAUCCUUAGUGGCGAACGGGUGAGUAAUACGUAGGUAACCUACCGAUAAGCCGAGGAUAGCCAUUGGAAACGAUGGGUAAUACUGGAUAGGACAUCAUAAUGGGCAUCCAUAGAUGUUUAAAGGAGUGAUCCGCUUGUUGAGGGGCCUGCGGCGCAUUAGCUAGUUGGUGAGAUAAAAGGCCCACCAAGGCGAUGAUGCGUAGCCGGACUGAGAGGUUGAACGGCCACAAUGGGACUGAGAACGGCCCAU
rnacentral:rRNA from 1 species